GUCCCCGUCGUCUAGCACGGCCUAGGACACCGCCCUUUCACGGCGGUAACACGGGUUCAAAUCCCGUCGGGGACGCCA
rnacentral:tRNA from 1 species